GUUUGUCUCUGGGUUUUCGAUUUGCUGGCUCAGAAAACUUAUCAGCAUUUAACUGUUUGGUAAGAAGUAUUUUAGUUUACUGUGUUCUUUUUGUUUGUUUGUUUUAACAAAGCUUUAAGUUGCUUCUUUUAACUUGGAAUUUUUUCUUUUGUUUUUCUAGCAUAAAUUUGCCAAAGAUUUUAUGACUUAUUUGUCUGCACCUAAUGCUUCUGUUACAGGUCCUUAUAACCUAGAAACUUGUCUGAGCGUGGUGCUGCUGUCUCUCGCCAUGGUCAUGGCUGGCUCAGGAAACCUAAAGGUUUUGCAGCUUUGUCGCUUCUUACACAUGAAAACGGGUGGUGAAAUGAACUAUGGUUUUCACUUAGCCCACCACAUGGCCCUUGGACUUCUAUUUUUGGGAGGAGGAAGGUAAGUGAAUAUGUAUUUUUCCAAUGAAAAGAUCUCAUUGGUGAGAUCUAUAAGGGUGACUUACCUUGAUCUUGAAGAUAACAUGAAAAAUU
rnacentral:lncRNA from 1 species